CUAAACAUCCCAUAGACUUUGGAGUGCUGAGGUUUCCCAAUGCCCCGCUUCCAGGUAUCUCCAGCCACCCAGAAUGGCUGGGGCAACCCAGUCAGAUGGGCGGGGUGUAAAUCAUCAUCAUCAUCAUCUGGGUUGUCCAGGGCUUAUUAGGCUCCCUAUUAUGACAUUGGCGUGACACCAGAGCAGUUGAGUCGAUGGGGAGCCACAUAGAGUGACAGUGACACAUCAACAGACCAUAGGCCCCAGCAGAGCUGAAAUCUCUGAAAAAGCAUUUUGACAGGUUUAAUGGUUGCAUUUGCAAGAGCACGAGCAAAGAAGGAAGAACCCACAUUGAUGUGGGCGUGAACUCUGCAUUUCAAAAGAAUCGAAUAAAUCUCGUCAAAGGCUUUAAUAAACCAAAAAUCUGGAAAAGUAAUGAGAUGCAGUCAUGAGAGGCUCAAAUGCUAGGAGAUGAGGAGCCUUCCAGACUUGCCAUUAUUUUUGUGGGCGAGAUCUAUGCACGAUGAAAGUGGAUUAAAGCGCUCUGUUGCCCUAGUGCAACAAAUCCUCUUAAAAAAACACCCCCCGACCUUUUGUGGUUAGGAAAGUGACAAGGAGAUGCACUGAAAAGUGUGGGUAGGUAAAAAUAUUAACCGGAAGGCAUGCAAGCACCCGAAAGCAAAUGAGGACGUCUGCUCAUUGGUCAUACAACUGCCCUGUACACAAUUAAGAACGAAUGCUCAGUGAAGACUGGAUCUAUUUGAACCACUGUGUAAACUUUGUGUGAACAAUUCAGGAUGAAUGGUGAAUAAACAGGUUGUCU